CAGUGGACUGAUCCCAUGGUUAUUUCCUUGAAGUGAUUCUUAGGAGUCCUGGUUAAUGACUGAUCUUCCAGCAUUUUCCAGAGUUUUGAGAAACAAGCCAACUGUAAACUGCUGCUGGUUAGACUACAUCCGGACUACUGAGUUCAGUUCUUUUGCUUGUUUUAAGAGAGUCACUGACUAAGAAGAGGUACUCUCCAGCACCAGCUACAUGACUUGGGGGGGCUAGUAGCUAAAGGAAACUGUGGAUCAGCCGAUGGAAGUUAAGACGGUAACAGCAGAGUAUUAAAGGAGGCAUGAGACCCUUCGUCGGAGCCCUGCGUGAUUGCAACGGCCGCACUGCCAUGAACCAGCCUGCAAGUCAGCCUUUCCUUCCGCUUGCCUCGGAGCCAAGCUCAGUACAUCUCCCAGGUCACGAAUCCAGCUCCUCUUCGUUAUUCAAGCUUACUCUUCCCAAAUUAAUUAAUUAAUUCGAUGCAUUACCAGUCAAAAGUAACUGUUUUCAAAGAAAUAAGCACACCAAUAUUAAACUUUAUAUGGACGAUCUAAAGGGUAAAAAAAAUACCUGAAAGAAUUUUGAAAUGUUUGGAACAGAAGAUGAAAAUGAAGAUUCCAAAACUAAAGAUUUAAAAGUAAAAUUUUAGAAGAAAAUGUAUGAUACUAUAUUCAUC